rnacentral:rRNA from 1 species
AACGCGAAGAACCUUACCUGGUCUUGACAUCUACGGAAUUCUGCAGAGAUGCGGAAGUGCCUUCGGGAACCGUAAGACAGGUGCUGCAUGGCUGUCGUCAGCUCGUGUCGUGAGAUGUUGGGUUAAGUCCCGCAACGAGCGCAACCCUUGUCCUUAGUUGCCAUCAUUAAGUUGGGAACUCUAAGGAGACCGCCGGUGACAAACCGGAGGAAGGUGGGGAUGACGUCAAGUCAUCAUGGCCUUUAUGACCAGGGCUACACACGUGCUACAAUGGCAGGUACAGAGGGAAGCCAACUCGCGAGAGGGAGCCAAUCCCAGAAAGCCUGUCGUAGUCCGGAUCGGAGUCUGCAACUCGACUCUGUGAAGUCGGAAUCGCUAGUAAUCGCAGAUCAGCAUUGCUGCGGUGAAUACGUUCCCGG